rnacentral:rRNA from 1 species
AUUGAACGCUGGCGGCAGGCCUAACACAUGCAAGUCGAACGAGUGGCGGACGGGUGAGUAAUGUCUGGGAAACUGCCCGAUGGAGGGGGAUAACUACUGGAAACGGUAGCUAAUACCGCAUACCAUCGGAUGUGCCCAGAUGGGAUUAGCUAGUAGGUGGGGUAAAGGCUCACCUUGGCGACGAUCCCUAGCUGGUCUGAGAGGAUGACCAGCCACACAGGAACUGAGACACGGUCCAGACGCCUACGGGGGGCAGCAGUGGGGAAUAUUGCACAAUGGGCGCAAGCCUGAUGCAGCCAUGCCGGGUGUAUGGAGAAGGCCUUCGGGUUGUAAAGUACUUUCAGCGGGGAGGCGUUACCCGCAGAAGAAGCACCGGCUAACUCCGUGCCAGCAGCAGCGGUAUAC